CGCUGCAGCAAUCCGCCGCGCCAAACCUCCCGCACCCUCCCAGCUCCCCGCGCUUCCGCUCGUAAUCGCGCGCGAAAUCCUUUCCUGUCCCGUCCAAUCGCGCGCCAAAUCUUUCAUCCUCCGCCACUCUCAGCCUUUAAAUCACGGAGUCGACGCCAGCCAAAUCUCCGUCUCCCCUCCGUCUCAGCAAGAUGUCUGGCCAGCUCGCCGGCGGCAGCGGCCGCGGCUGCCAGGCAAAGGGUGGUGGCGGCGGCAAGGCAAAGAAUGGGCAGGCAAAGGGCGGCUGCAGCCGCCAGGCAAGCAGCGGCGGCGGCGGUCAGGCUACAGGCGAUUCCCCAACUCCGCCGUCGACAGUGCCACUGGAAUCACCUCCCCUGCCGCCUAGUAGUCCAUGGUUCUCUGGAUGUGGAGGUACCAGUGGCACCACGCAUGGAAAUCAACCAAAUCCAUGGUAAAUCCCAGUUGCUUUUGUGAUGGUUCUGCAUAGCUUCAUUCUGUGAUGCGCCUACAGAUUCUUCUCAGUGCUUGCGAAAAUGUCUGAGGAUGGUGACAACAUAUUAUCAGAUGAUGAGCAAUAUGGAACAAUCAACUGCUUCGAUGAGUUUGUCGCCGAGGAGGAAAUUAUAGAUGACUUGAUCGAUGAAGCACUGGUCAGCUUAAAGCUACAUAGUUCCCAUGCCACAUUUGAUCAUAACACAUGCAAGAUUUAAAUGCUACAUCCUGCUUAUAAACUGUGCUCGUAAAACUGUGCAUUGAGAGUUGGAGUUUCAUUAUAUUGAAAAGCUGACAUGACAGUCUAGAUACUUGUGUCCAUGACACCUUCCCUAAAACUGGCCUGAGGUGGAGUCGACGUGUAGGUACAGUGCGGGGUAAGACACAUCACGUGCCAACAAAAUUCAACGGAAAAAACGGGAGGAGGCCGCGCCGGUUUUGGACGUACCCGGACCUCGUGCGCGCCGGGUGGGUGAUGGUCAAACCGGCGCAGCAGCAGCGGCCGCCGCCGGCAGGAAUCUGCCGAUGGCGCUAUCCGAGGAGGAAAUUGCGGUGCCCGAUGGCAAGUUUUAUUUUCUCGGCAAGAAUCUAAUUUUCUCGGCAAGAAUCUCGCCGUCCGUCUUUUUCUUUUUUCAACGGGUGCCUAGACUUGCUUAUUGUCGGGCUUAUCUACUCGUUAAUGGAGAGGAUGCCGUCUUUUUCGACGGCUGCCUGCUGGACUUUUUCUUGUUA